rnacentral:rRNA from 1 species
UACGUAGGUGGCAAGCGUUGUCCGGAAUUAUUGGGCGUAAAGCGCGCGCAGGUGGUUUCUUAAGUCUGAUGUGAAAGCCCACGGCUCAACCGUGGAGGGUCAUUGGAAACUGGGGAACUUGAGUGCAGGAGAGAAGAGUGGAAUUCCACGUGUAGCGGUGAAAUGCGUAGAUAUCUGGAGGAACACCGGUGGCGAAGGCGACAUCCUGGACCGGUAUUGACGCUGAGGCGCGAAAGCUAGGGGAGCAAACGGG